ACGGAAGGCAGCAGUGGGGAAUAUUGGGCAAUGGGGGAAACCCUGACCCAGCAACGCCGCGUGAAGGAAGAAGGCCUUCGGGUUGUAAACUUCUUUUACCAGGGACGAUAAUGACGGUACCUGGAGAAAAAGCAACGGCUAACUACGUGCCAGCAGCCGCGGUAAUACGUAGGUUGUAAGCGUUGUCCGGAUUUACUGGGUGUAAAGGGCGUGUAGGCGGAGCUGCAAGUCAGAUGUGAAAUCCCGGGGCUCAGCCCCGGAACUGCAUUUGAAACUGUAGCCCUUGAGUAUCGGAGAGGCAAGCGGAAUUCCUAGUGUAGCGGUGAAAUGCGUAGAUAUUAGGAGGAACACCAGUGGCGAAGGCGGCUUGCUGGACGACAACUGACGCUGAGGCGCGAAAGCGUGGGGAGCAAACAGGAUUAGAUACCCUGGUA
rnacentral:rRNA from 1 species